CUCAAAUAUCUUCUCAAUCUCAUGGAGAAUCCUUGACCCUAUCAAAUCCAAAUGUAUCUCAAAUAUCUUCUCAAUCUCAUGGAGAAUCCUUGACCCUCUCAAAUCCAAAUGUAUUUCAAAUAUCUUCUCAAUCUCAUGGAUAAUCCUUGAUCCUCUCAAAUCCAAAUGUAUCUCAAAUAUCUUCUUAAUCUCAUGGAGAAUCCUUGAACCUCUCAAAUCCAAAUGUAUCUCAAAUAUCUUCUCAAUCUCAUGGACAAUCCUUGAUCCUCUCAAAUCCAA